GGAAUAUUGCACAAUGGGGGAAACCCUGAUGCAGCAAUGCCGCGUGUGUGAAGAAGGCCUGCGGGUUGUAAAGCACUUUUAUCAGGAAAGAACCUGCCUGGAGAUAAUACCCCCAGGCACUGACGGUACCCUGCGAAUAAGCCACGGCUAACUACGUGCCAGCAGCCGCGGUAAUACGUAGGUGGCGAGCGUUGUCCGGAUUUACUGGGCGUAAAGGGCGUGCAGGCGGUCUGUUAAGUCUAGGGUGAAAGCUCCCGGCUCAACUGGGAGAGGUCCUUGGAUACUGGCGGACUUGAGGGAGGCAGAGGAAAGUGGAAUUCCCGGUGUAGUGGUGAUAUGCGUAGAUAUCGGGAGGAACACCAGUGGCGAAGGCGGCUUUCUGGGCCUUACCUGACGCUGAGACGCGAAAGCGUGGGGAGCGAA
rnacentral:rRNA from 1 species